GACGAACGCUGGCGGCGUGCCUAAUACAUGCAAGUCGAGCGGACUUGAUGAGAAGCUUGCUUCUCUGAUAGUUAGCGGCGGACGGGUGAGUAACACGUAGGCAACCUGCCUGCAAGCCUGGGAUAACUGCGGGAAACCGCAGCUAAUACCGGAUACGCAGUUGAGACACAUGUCUUGACUGGGAAAGGCGGAGCAAUCUGUCGCUUGUAGAUGGGCCUGCGGCGCAUUAGCUAGUUGGAGAGGUAACGGCUCACCAAGGCGACGAUGCGUAGCCGACCUGAGAGGGUGAUCGGCCACACUGGGACUGAGACACGGCCCAGACUCCUACGGGAGGCAGCAGUAGGGAAUCUUCCGCAAUGGACGCAAGUCUGACGGAGCAACGCCGCGUGAGUGAGGAAGGCCUUCGGGUCGUAAAGCUCUGUUGCCAGGGAAGAAUGUCGAGGAGAGUAACUGCUCUUCGAAUGACGGUACCUGAGAAGAAAGCCCCGGCUAACUACGUGCCAGCCGCCGCCGUAACAC
rnacentral:rRNA from 1 species